AGUGUGCGGUAGCCCACACAGGGCAUUCGGAAAUGUGGAAAAAGUCAAAGGGUCUGAAUACUUUCCGAAUGCCUUGUAUAUCAUAGGCUAUGUGUUGGAUAAUGGGACAAGUCUGGGAAUUUUUUGGGGUUUGGGCUUAUAAAAUGUCUUUUAAUGUCCAGUUGAUAAAAUGUUUUUAAUGUUUGCCUCAUCGGGCUCAGGUAGCAUCAGGGUAAUAUGUUCAUGCUGAUCAAAGCUCUAAUCAAAUCCAGACAUAUUUAUAUUCUUUAUAUGUUUAAAAUGACAUUCCAGUUUGGGGCUAGAAAUACCGUGUUACCCGGGAGAAAAGUGAACAUUUGUAGAAUGUCGGAAAAAUAUUUAACCCUAAUCAACAUCACUGAUUUAAAUCAAACAUCAACGACAACAAUAUCGCUGAUGACGUAACAUUCUGAUAUAAUUGAAUGUGUCAUGCAACCCAUCUGGGGGAAAUCUCCCUCUGCCUCUGUCUCCCUCUCUCCAUCUCUUCUUCUAUACCAUCCAGUGCCUUGUCCCCAGCCUAAUCUGCACCUCCAGUUCCGGUGGCCCCUCACCAUUCCCGGUCCCCCCAGCCUUCUGUCUACUGCCCUGGGGCCACAGCCCAUCAGCUCCCUGGGUCCUCACUAUACGCUCCAUAUGUCUGCCUGGGUCCGUUUGUGACGGCGACAGUUGACCAGGAACUGUGACCACAGACAUCGACCGUGAUGAGGACCGUACAGGAGGAUGGAACGUAACAGAGUUCUGACCGUGGAACCGUUCUCGCCCGCGACCGUAGAACACCAACACUGACCACAACCACACCUUCUAAAGACCGCCCGGUCUCCCCCUAACCCCCAACCUCUCCAGCCCCCUGUUUUACACUGCACCACCCACACCACUCCACUCCUCCUCCACCCCUCCUCCUGUACUCACUCCCUCGCUCCAGACCUCCACCCUUUCUGAGGGUCCACUUUUUCUUUCAUAAACACUCUCAACUACCCCUUCUCUCUUGUUCUCUUUCUAUUCCCUUUCUCUCCAAUAUUCUAUAUCUUCAUGAACAUUGAGUCCUCUUUGGAACCCUAACAUAGACGGACGAUAAUCAUUGAGUUGGAGGU
rnacentral:lncRNA from 8 species